rnacentral:rRNA from 1 species
GAAGGAUCAUUAUCGAGCUAAAAAAGCCUCAACAUGUGUCUGUGGAAGCUGUUGCUGCUGCCACUACUGCUUGCUACAGCUGCUUUUGCUGAUCGUUCUUAACCUGUAAGAGAUGUGGGCGGAGGCGUUGGCAGAAGCGGCAUUGGCGGUAGUGGCGGCGGCAGCGGCUGCGGAAGCGGUGACCUUUUUGAGGUUUGCGCAUAGCGGGGUGCUUGCAGUCGCGGGCUAACUAGCCCUACGCGAACGACCGCUGGGCGUGCGAGAGUGUUGUGCUGUUGUGCUUGUUGCAUAACGCUUAUCGCGAACUUCGCUUUUGAAAACGGCUAUCCGUUGGCGUCUACGCUCCAUCUAGUGGUUGCCCUGACCGUCGGCCGCUAUGAUGAUGGGGGUAUGCCCGCGCGUAUACUGCCUGUUAUUGCGCGCUGGUAGACUUAAUGAGCGUCGACUAGGACGCCGCCAACAACCAAAACCCCAACCCAAGUACUGUGUUGUCGAUCACUCUUUUGUGUGUCGUGUCGUGUCUGUCGAUGUGACUGAAAUGUGUGCUGUGCAACUGCUACUGCUGCUCAUGCCGAUGCUGUACCUGCUACUUAUACACCCGUUACUAAGCGUAACGGUGAUGGUGGUGGUAGUGGUGGCGGCUGAGGAGUUGAUUGCGGUGGCGGGAGUGCUACAUACUUGUUGCAAAAAGAGUCGGACAGACAGAUACGAGAGCAGAAUCACUCUUAGCGGUGGAUCACUUGGUCCGUGGAUCGAUGAAGAACGCAGCCAUCUGCGAUAUAUAGUGCGAAUUGCAGAUACAUUGAGCACUAAAAUUUCGAACGCACAUUGCGCCAUCGGGUUCAUUCCCGUUGGCACGUCUGGCUGAGGGUCGAUAUGCUGAAUGCAAUCCACGUGCAGAUCGCACGUUUAGUCGGUACGUUAAUUGUAGCUGAUGCGCUUACAGCCGAUUGCUGAGUGCUCUCUACGCUUACCGUACUCAGUGAGUGUUGCAAUAGUGGCUGACGGUCGUGCGCGCUUGACUUGUGUGUGUGCGUGUGUGUGGUGUGUGUGCGUGUGCGGAUGUGCACCACCAUUGCCUUCACACACAUACACAAGAGCGACCGCUGCUAGCAAUGUGAGCAGAAUGCGGCAACAUAAGUUCGUCGGCCUGCUAGGUGCACCCGAGAGCUAGUGGGGAGCACGUCUAGCGGUGUCAAUAUGCGCUAGAAUGGACGUAUGUAUGCGACGAUGCUGCUGCUCAGUUCGUAUUUCGCUUUUGACCUCAACUCAGACGUGAGUACCCGCUGAAUUUAAGCAUAUAAUUA